GCCGCGGUAUCCUGACCGUGCAAAGGUAGCGCAAUCACUUGCCUUUUAAAUAAAGGCUAGUAUGAAAGGCAUCACGAGAAUCAAACUGUCUCCUUUUUCUAAUCAGUGAAACUAAUCUCUCUGUGAAAAAGCAAAGAUUAUUAUGUAAGACGAGAAGACCCUAUGGAGCUUAAAACAAGGUAACACCUGCCGUAAUAACAAAAUUUCCAGAAACCCAAAUACAAAAGGCGGGCUGACUACAAGUUUUUGGUUGGGGUGACCGCGGAGUAAAACCCAACCUCCGCAAUGAGAUAGGGCAAAGCCUUAAACCGAAAGCCACAACUUAAAGAAUCAAUAAAUUGACAUUAUUGACCCAAUACUUUGAUCAACGAACCAAGUUACCCUAGGGAUAACAGCGCAAUCCGCUUCAAGAGUACAUAUCGACAAGCAGGUUUACGACCUCGAUGUUGGAUCAGGGCAUCCUAGUGGUGC
rnacentral:rRNA from 1 species